GUCUCUUUGUUAAUUGUAAAUAGAGAGUUGGGCCUGCUCGGUGAAUAAAUUGUUUUAACAGCUGCGGUAUUUUAACUGUACUAAGGUAGCAUAAUAAUUUGCCUUAUAAUUUGAGGCUAGAAUGAAUGGUUUGACGAAGGUUAAUCUGUCUCUACUUUAUUUUUUAGAAUUUAAUUUUCAUAGUGAAAAAGCUUGAAUUUUUUAAAGGGACGAGAAGACCCUAUUGAGCUUAUAAUUUUAUUACUGAUUCAUUAAAAUAUAAAAGAAAGGUAUAUAAAUUUUAAUUGGGGUGAUUAAGGAAUAAAGAUAAUUAGUAACUUCCUUAUAAAGAAUAUUGUUGAAUAAAGUAACCAAUAUAAUAUUGCUUAUAAUAUAGUUACCAUAGGGAUAACAGCGUAAUUUGUUUAGAGAGUUCUUAUUGAAAAACAAGAUUGCGACCUCGAUGUUGGAUUAAAGUAACCUUAAGGUGCAGAAGCUUUAUUAGGUAAAUCUGUUCGAUUUUUAAAACUUUACAUGAUC
rnacentral:rRNA from 1 species